UACGGGGGGAGCAAGCGUUGUUCGGAUUUACUGGGCGUAAAGGGCGCGUAGGCGGCCAGCACAAGUCAGUUGUGAAAUCUCCGAGCUUAACUCGGAAAGGUCAGCUGAUACUGUGCGGCUAGAGUGCAGAAGGGGCAACUGGAAUUCUUGGUGUAGCGGUGAAAUGCGUAGAUAUCAAGAGGAACACCUGCGGCGAAGGCGGGUUGCUGGGCUGACACUGACGCUGAGGCGCGAAAGCUAGGGGAGCGAACGGG
rnacentral:rRNA from 1 species